UACAGAGACCUCAAGCGUUAUCCGGAUUUAUUGGGCGUAAAGGGUCCGCAGGUGGUUCGUCGCGUCGUCGGUUAAAUCUACGAGCUCAACUCGUAAUAUGCCGAUGAUACGGACGGGCUAGAGGCUGGAAGAGGUACGCAGAAUUGCCGGUGUAGUAGUAAAAUGCGUUAAUAUCGGCAAGAAUACCAAAUGCGAAGGCAGCGUACUGGGACAGUCCUGACACUCAGGGACGAAAGCGUGGGUAGCGAAAGGG
rnacentral:rRNA from 1 species